GGAGCCGCUCUGGGCAGCAAGGCAAAGCGAAUGGCCCAUCAGACCACGCAGUACGCCGCUGACUCACUCGGUUAUCAUCCAUCCGACUUACCGGCCGAUACUCAAGUCUUAAAUUUAUUUCGUGUUUGUGCUGUGAUUGUAACUGCGUCUCAGAGAAGGAAAGGAAACAAGAGGAGGAAGCUCUACACAAGAGGACGGUGUCCACCAUGAAGUCCUUUAUCAAUCCUGGAUAUUUUGUGGAAGUACCGUUGCCCUUUACUCCGUUGCUGCAGGUACCGUUGAAUCGUUACCAUCACUGUUGCUGCAAGUACCGCUGUUUUUAACUACCGUUACCGUUGCUUCAAGUGCUCGCCUACACCUCACUACACCGGAGACAGAGCGUCUAAUUUAAUAAAGUUUAACUGAUACGGAUGCCUUUCCUGUCGGCGUGGCGGAGUGGCGGUGCAGCAGCGGUGAGUUGGUGGCAAGGGGGACAGGGAGGGAUGGCACAGGGCGGGCGGGAAGGACGGAGAAGGGGAGACGAGGAUGAGUUGCACUGUCGGUGGGAGUUGAGGCGAGGCUCGGACGUGAACGGAACUUGGGAUGAGAUUCAAGACAACUAGUAGCCCCGCACUGAGCCAGAGUCAAGUGUCUAGUCAUGAUUAGCAGUUAGGGAAGUACAGAGGAGCACUCAUGCCCUGGUGUGAGAGGUUGUAGCUGAGUGUUCGUGUCUCGCUAGCUCAGGGAAUAAGGGAAUGUAUUCUCAAACGAUACUGAUUCAUAUGUUCACUCAAUUUCAGCAGGUUUUAGUACAAGUUAAUAUAGUUUU